AUUUGCCCUUGGUUGACCACAAUACGGAAGUGGUUACGCGGAAAAUAGUUCCUCUGUUUGAUGGUGAAUAUUGGUGAAUUUUUAACUGAAAGACCUGCAAUAAAUGGCAUAAUUUAAUAGAGGAGAUAUGAAAUAGUAGGUACAUGUACAAUUUGACAGAAUGAAAAUGUCAGAAUAUGCAUAACAUGACUUUUUGAUAGGGCCUGUUUUGCCUGUUUGCGGCCAUCUAGAGAGUAUUCUUCAUACGCAUGUGAUUUGGUUCAAAAUGGUGGAAAAAAGAGCCGGUCAACCCAAUGUUUACUGUGGCUGGAAUUUUUUCUCUUGGAUAGUUCUGUUGAGUUCAGAUAUUUUUACAGGGGUUGGAAUGCAUGCAAAAUUGCUAUAGUGUCCAGUGCCUAUAUAGAACAUAUAGUAAAAAUAACUGUGGUCUUAGGCCUGAUAUAGUGGAAAAUGUCAGAAAGUAAAUUGUCAAUAUUUUUGUUAUUUUUCAAUCUACAUGGCUGAAAUUUUGACAGUGAAUGGCUGGUAGGCAUAGAAAUCUGUACCUAAAAACCUGAAAUGAGAGCGCUCGGACAAUGUGAAGUUUGUCGCAUAGACGGGGAUUGACCGCCUUUGUACAUAUAUGUCUACAGCUUCUCAGAUUUGACGGAAGACAGUUGUUCGGUGUUGUGAAUGGAUGUUGUUCGGCCGAAGGCCUUCCAGUCACACAGAAGAUCCUGGUUCGGUCACACGAAGGGCCACUUCCAUUGGUAUUAGUCACAGGAAAAAUUAGGAGCACCAGUUGUAGUUUCUCAGGUUGAUAUCUAUUAAGGUUUUUGCUGAAAUUAAGCCAGUUUGGAACAUUCAGCAGGCAGUGAUGUACAUUAAAAUCAUUCUUUAUAGAGAUAGGGGCUGUUUUGCCAGAAUGCUCAGCUGUGAUACACAGUGUAAGAUUUUGUGCAGUGUAAAUGGUCAUGGUGUGCAUGUUUCUUUUACAGAGUGCACUGAAUGCCUGUAAACUGUAAGAUUUGAGUGAAAUAUUCAUUCCAGAAAGACUCAUAAGCUUUUUAGUAAGCUCAUAUAUUGGAUUUUUCAGAGCUGUUUGGCACAUUUUACCUAGGGUAGCCAUAAAUAAAUGAUCACUGAAAAGUAUAUGACACAUAUAUGUACAAAAGCUAUUCAUUCUCAUAUUUGCCACAUACUGGGCUGCUUAAAAAGGGCAAAUUUGACAGCUACAGGAUUUUUCUUAAUUCACAUUUUACUUUUUCGUGUGAGUAGACUCCGCGUUUUGACGUGCUUUUUGUAAUAUGAAUAGUUUUCCUUAAAAUUGGAACAGUGAUAUUGUAAUCAGGCUUGAAGUGGCUCUUAAUUUGGAUAGAUGUAUAUUAAGGAAACAUGCUGUUUUUUAUUUGGGGUGAAAAUCUCAUCAAACAAAAAAGUUAUAGAAUUUUGCGUUUUUUUCAUCUGAAAAGUACGCGAACUUUUUUUUUGCUCAGAUUUGACCGAUACCAUGUGUAACAUUGGAAGCUGUCAAAUUUUAGUGCAUGGUUCAACAAAGGUGUAACUUUCAGUUUUAAUUUGCUAUACAACUGAGAUUAUACUGGUAAAAUAUUUUCUAGUUUGGAGAGAAAAAUAGGUCUAAAUAGGCACAAGACCACAGUUAUUUGCCCUUGGUUGACCACAAUACGGAAGUGGUUACGCGGAAAAUAGUUCCUCUGUUUGAUGGUGAAUAUUGGUGAAUUUUUAACUGAAAGACCUGCAAUAAAUGGCAUGAUUUAAUAGAGGAGAUAUGAAAUAGUAGGUACAUGUACAAUUUGACAGAAUGAAAAUGUCAGAAUAUGCAUAACAUGACUUUUUGAUAGGGCCUGUUUUGCCUGUUUGCGGCCAUCUAGAGAGUAUUCUUCAUACGCAUGUGAUUUGGUUCAAAAUGGUGGAAAAAAGAGCCGGUCAACCCAAUGUUUACUGUGGCUGGAAUUUUUUCUCUUGGAUAGUUCUGUUGAGUUCAGAUAUUUUUACAGGGGUUGGAAUGCAUGCAAAAUUGCUAUAGUGUCCAGUGCCUAUAUAGAACAUAUAGUAAAAAU